rnacentral:rRNA from 1 species
UACGAAGGGGGCUAGCGUUGCUCGGAAUCACUGGGCGUAAAGGGUGCGUAGGCGGGUUUUUAAGUCAGAGGUGAAAUCCUGGAGCUCAACUCCAGAACUGCCUUUGAUACUGAAAGUCUUGAGUACGGGAGAGGUGAGUGGAACUGCGAGUGUAGAGGUGAAAUUCGUAGAUAUUCGCAAGAACACCAGUGGCGAAGGCGGCUCACUGGCCCGUUACUGACGCUGAGGCACGAAAGCGUGGGGAGCAAACAGG